CUCGAUGAGUAGGGCGGGACACGUGGUAUCCUGUCUGAAUAUGGGGGGACCAUCCUCCAAGGCUAAAUACUCCUGACUGACCGAUAGUGAACCAGUACCGUGAGGGAAAGGCGAAAAGAACCCCGGCCAGGGGAGUGAAAAAGAACCUGAAACCGUGUACGUACAAGCAGUGGGAGCCCCACCACUAAGCCAGUGGUGAACUCCACAUCCGCAUCCUUUGCUGAGGAUACGGUUAACGGAGCGAAAGCGACGUUCAACCGCAAAACAAGCAGAGGGGGCUUAGUGGUGGGGUGACUGCGUACCUUUUGUAUAAUGGGUCAGCGACUUAUAUUCUGUAGCAAGGUUAACCGAAUAGGGGAGCCGGAGGGAAACCGAGUCUUAAUUGGGCGUUAAGUUGCAGGGUAUAGACCC
rnacentral:rRNA from 1 species